rnacentral:rRNA from 1 species
GAACUGAAGAGUUUGAUCCUGGCUCAGAUUGAACGCUGGCGGAAUGCUUUACACAUGCAAGUCGAACGGCAGCACGGACUUCGGUCUGGUGGCGAGUGGCGAACGGGUGAGUAAUACAUCGGAACGCGUCCUGUAAUGGGGGAUAACCUGGCGAAAGCCAGGCUAAUACCGCAUACGUCCUGAGGGAGAAAGCGGGGGAUCGCAAGACCUCGCGUUAUAGGAGCGGCCGAUGUCGGAUUAGCUAGUUGGUGGGGUAAAGGCCUACCAAGGCGACGAUCUGUAGCGGGUCUGAGAGGACGGCCCGCCACACUGGGACUGAGACACGGCCCAGACUCCUACGGGAGGCAGCAGUGGGGAGUUUUGGACAAUGGGCGAAAGCCUGAUCCAGCCAUGCCGCGUGAGUGAAGAAGGCCUUCGGGUUGUAAAGCUCUUUCAGGUGGAAAGAAAGCGGAUGGGCUAAUACCCUGUUCG